GCGCGGCCUCCGCCGAGUCCGGGGCGCCCGCGCGCAUCCGGAGCCGGGGACCCACACCGACCUUGGGGUGAAUCGGCCCACAUCCCCGCGAGGGGGCACGGGCCGUAGGGCAACCCUUCCGAACCACCCGCCCGAACCCGACAGCUAACUCGGUAGGCGGAGCAUGGAAGGAGU
rnacentral:sRNA from 2 species